GAUCGUUAAUUUUUCGUUGGAUUGCGCGAGCUCAACAAUCCGGACAUCGUGGCCACCGACGCGGACCCCCCGCCACCGGGACCCACGCAGAGCGGAUUGAUCUCCCAGAGGCUUCAACAGAGCGGGUCUGGAGCUGGGAGCUGCAGGUGGAUGGUGCCCAGGAGCCGUUCAGUCCUACAGGAACAGACAGUAGAGGUGAUGGAGGUGGUCGUCUGGAGGUGCUCGCCAUGAGGUCCGUGGCGGUCGUCUGGAGGUGCUCGUCUGGAGGUGGUCGCCGUGAGGUCCGUGGCGGUCGUCUGGAGGCGCUCGCCGUGAGGUCCAUGGCGGUCGUCUGUAGGCGCUCGCUGCAGGCGGAGGGAAGGCCGGGAGCCGUGCAGCCCAACGGAUGCAGAACGAAGGACUGAGGAGGAGGGCCUGGAGGCAGAGGCCAGCCUGGAGGCAGAGGCCAGCCUGGAGGCAGAGGCCAGCCUGGAGGCAGAGGCCAGCCUGGAGGCGGCGCUGGCCUGGAGGUCCUGGAGGCGUCCAACCUGGAAGGGGCGGCAUGGAGGGCCAGGUGGCGGCUCCUCAUCCAGUUGGCCUGAGGCGGCCAACCUGGAAGGCCUGGGGACGGCAGAGGUCCUGGAGGCGACGGCGGGCCUGGAGGCCAACCUGGAGGUCCUGGAGGCGGCGGCAGCGGCCAUCCUGGAGGCGGACUACCUGGAGGUCCUGGAGGCGGAUUGUGGAGACCAUCCUGGAGGGCCCGGCGGCGGCGGCUCCUCAUCCAGUUAAGCUAAACUCUUCUCCAGUGCAUCAUGAACGGGGAGGAAUGUCCGGGGUGCAAAUAGAACGUGUGUCUCAUUUCAGAACAAAUGAGGCGACGUUGCGGAGGUCCAGGCGGUCGGCCCGGUGGAGGUCCUGGAGGAGACGGUCCCGGCGGUGGAGGACGGCUGGGGGAUCCGGCGGUGGAGGUCCGAAAGGCGCCUCGUGAUUAGACCAACCAGCUCCUCGUCCAUGGAAGGAUUGAAGGAGUCACUGGGGAUGAAGAUCACUGGUCAGGGGCUGACAACCCCCCACAUAAAUCUACAGCUGAUGUGAUUAAAGUUCUGCAGUUCAGAUCCGCUGAUGAAUGGUCCCAUACCGUAUCCACAGCGUCCCCAUGGUGCAGGCAGUCAAAACUCCAGCUCUUUGAAGAGACCAAGCAGCUUGAUGACUGACUGGUUCCUUAUACAAAGGACCUCGUCCCGGAGCAGAGGACAGACCUAAGGCCUGCAGCGCAUCCGCUAGAGACUCUGUGGAACCGGUUCAAUAAAGUUGACCUAUCCUUCAGGCGACUUAAAGGGAGACCAGAUGUGCGGCAGCUGGGUGUCAUGGUGCAGAGAAAGGAAUUAUUUUCUCCAUUUAUGUUGCACCACAUUUUGGGGGAAGAAUGUUUGAAUCAAUCUGUCAUUUAUUUCUGUACUCCAUAUCUGUAAUCCCAGCUGUUGUAUUUUAACACGGUAGCUGGGAACCCUCUUUAUAGGGAGCGACUAGAGGGACGAGGCUGGAAGCAAACCUGAGCCUGGAUCUUAACCUUCUUUCUAAACCUAAUGCCGCAAUUUAACCGCAAAGAAAGUGAGGCCUAAAGUAACUUGACUCUCUUACCUAAACUUGCUUGCCUAAACUCGCUUGUCUAAACUCGCUUGCAUAAAACCUAAACUCGCUUGCAUAAAACCUGAACUUGCUUGGCUAAACUCGCGUCGCUUGCCUAAUACCUGAACUCGCUUGCCUAAACUCGCUUGCCUAAACCCGCUUGCCUGAACUCGCUUGCCUAAUACCUAAACUCGCUUGCAUAAACCCGCUUGCCUAAUACCUAAACUCGCUUGCAUAAAACCUAAACUCGCUUGCAUAAAACCUAAACUCGCUUGCAUAAAACCUAAACUCGCUUGCUUGACUCGCUUGGCUAAUACCUGAAGUCGCUUGCCUAAACUCGCAUGCCUAAUACCUGAACUUGCUUGUCCAAACACGUUACACAAAGUUAACCAUCCAUAAUCUUUAACCCAAACCAGACUUGUCCCUGGGUCGCUCCACUUUGAUUGAGAAGUUUCUUAUUUUACCUCAUCUGCGUUUUUGUAUUUCAUUCUUUGAGGAAGUGCUUUGGAGGAUAUUUGAACUUUUGUUUGCCGCAUCAAUAAGCAUGCUUUAUCUUUACCCAUUUUGUUUUGGAUUGCAUUUCUAUGUGUCAUCCGGCCAAAUGUUCAGUGUCCUUACAUGUAAUGUCUAUGGUCUGACGAUAAUCGGACCUUUUCAUGAAGCAGAAUGUGUGUGUGAAUGUUGUCCCGUGAGCUCCAGGCUCUCUGUAGGCCUAUUCAUGUGUUCAUGAGUAUUUCAGACCUGUGGUGUUUCACAUGAGACCUUAAUGGGAACUUUUCUUUUUCUGCCUGCAUACGUAAUGCCUACAUUAGUAGGGUGAUCACUGUUGAUCCCAAUAUUGAUCAUUAACCACCUCAUUAUUUUAUAAUUUCUUCCAAUAAGGAUUACAAAUCAUGUAAUUUAUGAGCAUAUUUUCAAAUGGCUCCAAAUAUCAGAUUGUGUAAACUAAUGAAAUGUAACCUGCUUGAUUUAAAGAAAAUAAAACAUCCAAAUAUUAU